UGUCUCCGUGGGCUCGACCCGCCGCCGGCCCUCUCAGGAGCCGAGCUGUGCACCGUGCACCCUGCACCCUGAGGUUUGCGCACUGAUCCCCCCACGUUGAGGUCUGACGCGCCUGGUGGUGUCAAUCCCCCACCACUUCCUGCUCAGCCUGCUCUGGAGCCCCCAGCGGUCCCGGAGGUGGGACCCUACCAGUGCCAGGGCUGCCCAGCUGCAGCUGAAUCAGAGUGGCCGCAGGCAUGGGGCCUGGGGCGCCUGCGUGUCCGCUGGAGUCUGGGUCACCACGCAGGCCGCGGUGACCGGACAGCAGUGGGGAGGAGACACACCUGCACAGCUGGCCCUCCACCAUUCUUCAGGUCGGGGAGUGGCGAAUCCCGCCUACUUCAUCAGAGCUGCCACUCCAGUCAGACGAGAAAAACAGCCCUAGUACUGACCAUCGUCCUGGCAAAGGAGGAAGAUUAUGACCCAGGAAUCCACUUUAGCAAAUAACAGUUGAUGCUGCAACGUGUUUUUAUCCAUGAAGAUUUCGGAGAGACUGUUCCCUUAAAGAGAUGGAGAAGUGGAAUUGCUGGGUCAGAGGAUGAAAGGGUGUUCCUGUUUUUUAAAAAGGCAGCAUCUCAGAGAAUCCACCGAGGCAGAGAAACCACCACCCAGGUGUUCUGGGCUGCGCGCUUUCCCACGCCCUCACCUUCCUCAGCCCCUCCCACCCCCACCCCCGCCAACUUUUUAUUAAUUUAGUGGAAGAAAAGUUUAUACGGCAUUUCCUCUAUGACCCAUGAGG